CCUACGGGUGGCUGCAGUGGGGAAUAUUGGACAAUGGGGGGAACCCUGAUCCAGCCAUGCCGCGUGUGUGAAGAAGGCCCUCGGGUUGUAAAGCACUUUCAGUGAGGAAGAACGCCUGGUGGUUAAUACCCAUCAGGAAAGACAUCACUCACAGAAGAAGCACCGGCUAACUCCGUGCCAGCAGCCGCGGUGAAUACGGAGGGUGCGAGCGUUAAUCGGAAUUACUGGGCGUAAAGCGCGCGUAGGUGGCUUGAUAAGCCGGUUGUGAAAGCCCCGGGCUCAACCUGGGAACGGCAUCCGGAACUGUCAAGCUAGAGUGCAGGAGAGGAAGGUAGAAUUCCCGGUGUAGCGGUGAAAUGCGUAGAGAUCGGGAGGAAUACCAGUGGCGAAGGCGGCCUUCUGGACUGACACUGACACUGAGGUGCGAAAGCGUGGGUAGCAAACAGGAUUAGAUACCCCGGUAGUC
rnacentral:rRNA from 1 species